rnacentral:sRNA from 2 species
CGUGCGCCGUCGCCGAAUCCCGCACGCGGUGCAACAGCAGCACCCGAUCGGCCGCACAGCACCGUGGGAACCGGGGAACCACCCCUUCUCGUCAGCCGGACGAGGAGGACGGGGUGAAUCGGACGCCCUUGCGAGGACGCCCGUAGGAGACCUUCCUGCUCCGAACCCGUCAGCUAACCCGGUAGGCGAGAAGGAAGGAAAGG